GUGACAUGAGGCUGCAAUUUACAAUCUUCUUCAAUAACAAUAUACCUACGCCAGCAAAUCUACCUCGCUCCAACUCUCCAAACUCGUACCUGAAGGUUCAACAGUCUUUACCCAGCAUUCUAUGAUUUCUACCCGUGAGCUGUAUAAUAAUGUCUGACUCGGUUCUGAAUUCAUCCAGGAUCUACUAGGGAAAGCCAAACAGUAAAUGCAGAAAGGUUGCUAGAAGCAUAGUGAUUUCAUAGUAAUUUCAGCUCAUAAUCCAGUGUUUUUGAACUAGAUCCAGUGUUGUUUGAUAGCAUAAUAAUUGUAAAGGAAAGUGUAACACGUUUUGGUGCAAAGAUUACAAAAUGAGUAAAAUAAGAUGUAUUCGCCCAUUCAAAGAUAUUCAUUGUUCGAAAGAGCUGCGAUAUCUCACGGAUGGUAUCAUCCAAAAACUAAAAUCAAUUGGAUUUCCCAAGGUAUCCACACUGAAUACCAAAGAUUUUCGUAUUUGUUCGUCUUGCCGUCUACAUAUUGAUUCAAGAGCUCACCGCACCCAAAACGAAGAACAAAGCGUAGCCGGCGGCUCAAGGAUGCCAACUGUUCAGACCAUAUCUGAUGUACCUGAUUCGCAAAGCGUCAACGCUAAGCACAAUUCAAUCAAAUUAAGACUUAACGAUGCCUGAAGACGUUAAAAUAUUCAACCGAGGAAUAGCAGCAAUUUGUGUUUCGCCUAUAGGCGAAUUUGAUAAAAAAUACACAAAUAAAAAUAAACUGAUAAUAUCCAA